rnacentral:rRNA from 1 species
GGCUCAUUAAAUCAGUUAUCGUUUAUUUGAUAGUACCUUACUACUUGGAUAACCGUGGUAAUUCUAGAGCUAAUACAUGCUAAAAACCCCGACUCACGGAGGGGUGUAUUUAUUAGAUUAAAAGCCAAUGCCCUCCGGGGCUCACUGGUGAUUCAUAAUAACUUGUCGAAUCGCAUGGCCUUGCGCCGGCGAUGGUUCAUUCAAAUUUCUGCCCUAUCAACUUUCGACGGCUGGGUCUUGGCCAGCCAUGGUGACAACGGGUAACGGAGGGUUAGGGCUCGACCCCGGAGAACGAGCCUGAGAAACGGCUAUUACAUCCAAGGAAGGCAGCAGGCGCGCAAAUUACCCAAUACCGACUCGGUGAGGUAGUGACGAUAAAUACUGAUACAGGGCUCUUUUGGGUCUUGUAAUUGGAAUGAGUACAAUUUAAAUCCCUUAACGAGGAACAAUUGGAGGGCAAGUCUGGUGCCAGCAGCCGCGGUAAUUCCAGCUCCAAUAGCGUAUAUUAAAGUUGUUGCAGUUAAAAAGCUCGUAGUUGAACCUUGGGCCUGGCUGGCCGGUCCGCCUCACCGCGUGCACUGGUCCGGCCGGGCCUUUCCCUCUGGGGAACCGCAUGCCAUUCACUUGGUGUGUCGGGGAACCAGGACUUUUACUUUGAAAAAAUUAGAGUGUUCAAAGCAGGCCUAUGCUCGAAUACAUUAGCAUGGAAUAAUAGAAUAGGACGUGUGGUUCUAUUUUGUUGGUUUCUAGGACCGCCGUAAUGAUUAAUAGGGACAGUCGGGGGCAUCAGUAUUCAAUUGUCAGAGGUGAAAUUCUUGGAUUUAUUGAAGACUAACUACUGCGAAAGCAUUUGCCAAGGAUGUUUUCAUUAAUCAGGAACGAAAGUUAGGGGAUCGAAGACGAUCAGAUACCGUCGUAGUCUUAACCAUAAACUAUGCCGACUAGGGAUCGGACGGUGUUAUUUUUUGACCCGUUCGGCACCUUACACGAAAG